GACGAACGCUGGCGGCGUGCUUAACACAUGCAAGUCGAACGGAAAGGCCCUGCUUUUGUGGGGUGCUCGAGUGGCGAACGGGUGAGUAACACGUGAGUAACCUGCCCUUGACUUUGGGAUAACUUCAGGAAACUGGGGCUAAUACCGGAUAGGAGCUCCUGCUGCAUGGUGGGGGUUGGAAAGUUUCGGCGGUUGGGGAUGGACUCGCGGCUUAUCAGCUUGUUGGUGGGGUAGUGGCUUACCAAGGCUUUGACGGGUAGCCGGCCUGAGAGGGUGACCGGCCACAUUGGGACUGAGAGACGGCCCAGACUCCUACGGGAGGCAGCAGUGGGGAAUAUUGCACAAUGGGCGGAAGCCUGAUGCAGCAGCGCCGCGUGCGGGAUGACGGCCUUCGGGUUGUAAACCGCUUUCGCCUGUGACGAAGCGUGAGUGACGGUAAUGGGUAAGGAAGCACCGGCUAACUACGUG
rnacentral:rRNA from 1 species